rnacentral:rRNA from 1 species
AACUAACGCUGGCGGCGUGCCUAACACAUGCAAGUCGUACGAGAAAGUUGGCUUCGGCCGAUGAGUAAAGUGGCGCACGGGUGAGUAAUGCGUGGAUAAUCUGCCCUUUAGUUGGGAAUAACGUACCGAAAGGUGCGCUAAUACCUGAUAAUACUGCAUAACUACUGUUGUGUAGUCAAAGAAGGCCUCUGUUUACAAGCUUUUGCUGAAGGAUGAGUCCGCGUACCAUUAGCUGGUUGGUGGGGUAAUGGCCUACCAAGGCUACGAUGGUUAGCUGGUCUGAGAGGAUGAUCAGCCACACUGGAACUGAGACACGGUCCAGACUCCUACGGGAGGCAGGCCAGUGGGGAAUAUUGCACAAUGGGGGAAACCCUGAUGCAGCGACGCCGCGUGGAGGAUGACACAUUUUCGGUGCGUAAACCCUUUUAUAUAGGAAGAUAAUGACGGUACUAUAUGAAUAAGCACCGGCUAACUCCGUGCCAGCAGCCGAC